AAAAUGCGAUAAGUAAUGUGAAUUGCAGAAUUCAGUGAAUCAUCGAAUCUUUGAACGCACAUUGCGCCCGCCAGUAUUCUGGCGGGCAUGCCUGUUCGAGCGUCAUUUCAACCCUCAAGCCCCCGGGUUUGGUGUUGGGGAUCGGGCUGCUGUUCUCCGCGUCCCGGCCCCGAAAUCUAGUGGCGGUCUCGCUGCAGCCUCCAUUGCGUAGUAGCUAACACCUCGCAACUGGAACGCGGCGCGGCCAAGCCGUUAAACCCCCAACUUCUGAAUGUUGACCUCGGAUCAGGUAGGAAUACCCGCUGAACUUAAGC
rnacentral:misc_RNA from 1 species